GACGAACGCUGGCGGCGCGCCUAAUACAUGCAAGUCGAGCGGAACUUAGAAAGCUUGCUUUCUAAGUUUAGCGGCGGACGGGUGAGUAACACGUGGGCAACCUGCCUAUAAGACUGGGAUAACUUCGGGAAACCGGAGCUAAUACCGGAUAAUAUAAAAGAUCACAUGGUCUUUUAUUGAAAGAUGGCUUCGGCUAUCACUUAUAGAUGGGCCCGCGGCGCAUUAGCUAGUUGGUGAGGUAAUGGCUCACCAAGGCGACGAUGCGUAGCCGACCUGAGAGGGUGAUCGGCCACACUGGGACUGAGACACGGCCCAGACUCCUACGGGAGGCAGCAGUAGGGAAUCUUCCGCAAUGGACGAAAGUCUGACGGAGCAACGCCGCGUGAGCGAUGAAGGCCUUCGGGUCGUAAAGCUCUGUUGUUAGGGAAGAACAAGUAUCGUUCGAAUAGGGCGGUACCUUGACGGUACCUAACCAGAAAGCCACGGCUAACUACGUG
rnacentral:rRNA from 1 species